rnacentral:rRNA from 1 species
CAUGCCUUACACAUGCAAGUCGAACGGCAGCACGGGCUUCGGCCUGGUGGCGAGUGGCGAACGGGUGAGUAAUACAUCGGAACGUGCCCUGUCGUGGGGGAUAACUAGUCGAAAGAUUAGCUAAUACCGCAUACGACCUGAGGGUGAAAGCGGGGGACCGGUAACGGCCUCGCGCGACAGGAGCGGCCGAUGUCUGAUUAGCUAGUUGGUGGGGUAAAAGCCUACCAAGGCGACGAUCAGUAGCUGGUCUGAGAGGACGAUCAGCCACACUGGGACUGAGACACGGCCCAGACUCCUACGGGAGGCAGCAGUGGGGAAUUUUGGACAAUGGGGGCAACCCUGAUCCAGCAAUGCCGCGUGUGUGAAGAAGGCCUUCGGGUUGUAAAGCACUUUUGUCCGGAAAGAAAGCCUCUGCCCUAAUACGGUGGGGGGAUGACGGUACCGGAAGAAUAAGCACCCGGCUAACUACGUGCCAGCAGCCCGCGGUAAUACCGUAGGGUGCGAGCGUUAAUCGGAAUUACUGGGCGUAAAGCGUGCGCAGGCGGUUUGAUAAGACGGCGUGAAAUC